ensembl:lncRNA
CUCAAAGGCCACAGGCCUUCCGGUUCAUUUAGCAACUCAUGCUACUUUGCCCCAACAACAUAUCUUAUGGGUGGUGCCACAGCUAUGGGGCCUGAAAUCUGAAAAUGUCAAGGCUGUGUUGUGUUUGUUGCAGUUGCAGUGUUGUAUUUUUGCCAUUUCCUCACUGCCCUGAGCCUCCUGCUUCCCUCUGAGUCAUUAACUCUCAACUACCACUAGCCUGUGUCACAGGUGGAGGCAAAUGCAGCAGCAUGUGUUCUUCUGUGAAGCCCAGCCAAGGUUUUCUGGUUUGGGGAGCUACCAGCCCCUUCCAGUCUCCAAAUUGCUGUCUCCUUUCACACAUAGGAAAUUUACUCUUUGAAAUAAUUGAAGAGCAAAUAAAAAUACUAAAGAAAAAUUACAGUAGAAGGAGAACAUGAUCAUUUUACACACAAAAAAGUCAAAGGGCAUCUAUACCAACUAAUGAAAUUGUGAAGGAAAAAUGAUUACUGACAACUAGAAAAUUUAAUAAUUGUUAUACAAUUCUAGCUUGUGAUCUUUAGAAUCUAUGUUAAAUGAAUAAUUUGAGUGAUAAAAAAAAUGACUCCCUCUAAGGAGAAGUAGAAAACUCCAUAUGACCUAAAUAAUGAGAGGAUAUGCAAAAUUAUGAAAUUAUAAGUGUUCAAUGUUCCUUUUGACAGCCCAGCGUCUGGGUCACAUCUGUAAUCAGGGACAGCAGAGGGCAUCACUGCCUCCCUCCUUUGGGUGAGAGAAGGAAAUGAGGAGACCUGAUGAUCUUAAAGCCAGAGGGAUCUGGGAAAGCUGACACAUUUGCUUCUUAUACAUUUCUAGAGGCUGAGGAAAUCCAAGAUCCUCUUGCCACGUUCUGCUUCUGUGGCCCAAGGUUCACCAGUUUGCAUCUCGGGUGUGGACCUACUCACAGUUUGCAGGCCAUGCUGUGGAAGGCGUCCACAUAUAAAACAGAGGGAGAUGGGCAUGGAUGUUUGCUCAAGACCAGUCUCCCUCAGCAAAAGAAAAGGAUGAUUGGCACGGAUGUUAGCUAAGGUCUAAUCUUCCUCAAAGAAAGGAUCAUCAUGCCGGUCUGGUGAAGGCCAUCUUCCACGUUGUAGACUCCCAACUUCUCAUAGUGACUUCACAUGGUGGAAGGAGCCAGAGAUGUCUCUGGGGUCUCUUUUAUUAAGGCACUAAUCCCAUUCAGGACUUAAUCACCUCUCAAAGGCCCCGCCUCCUAAAACCAUCACAAUGGGCAUUAGGAUUUCGACAUAUGAAUUUGGAACAGGGUUGGGGGGAGGGGGAGGACAAAAACAUUCAUAUGAUCACACCAUGCUGUACAUUAGAACUCCAGAAUUUAUUCAUCUUGAAUGACUGAAAUUUUAUACCCUUUGAGAAAGAUCUCUUCAGACCACUAUCCUACUUUCUACUUCUUUGAAUUUGGCUAUUUAGAUUCUAUAGAUAAGUGAGAGCAUGCAGUAUUUCUUUCUGUAUCACAGGGAGACUUUUGUUACAGGUCCAGCGUUGCCACAUACAGGCCCUUAUCAUGGAAAUUAAGUUCUAUGAUAUACACUUCCUCAUGUGCAAAAAGCACAUAAUGAAAAUUACCUGAUGAGCUGUUGUGAAAGUGAGCAAUAAAAUAUUUUUAAUUACUGCUGCUGUUUCCUAACACGUAAUGAGUGAUCUAGAAUGGUGUCUAUUAGUUGUUUUUCCAGGUCCCUUUACCCAUGACUUGAAAUAAAUUAUUUAAAAAU